rnacentral:rRNA from 1 species
AGUGCGGCCGCAAGGUUAAAACUCAAAGGAAUUGACGGGUUCCCGCACAAGCAGCGGAGCGUGUGGUUUAAUUCUAUGCUACGCGAAGAACCUUACCUGGACUUGACAUAUAGGUGGUAGGGAUCCGAAAGGUGACCGACCCUCCGGGGAGCCUAUACAGGUGCUGCAUGGCUGUCGUCACCUCUUGUCGUGAGAUGUCCGGUUAAUUCCGGUAACGAGCUCAACCCUUGCCGUAUGUUAUACGUGUCAUACGGGACUGCCGAUAUAAAAUCGGGGGAAGGAGGGGAUGACGUCAAGUCAGCAUGGCCUUUAUGUCCAGGGCUACCCACACGCUACAAUGUUCCAUUUCAAUUUGUUGCAAAGCCGCGAGGUGGAGCCAAUCCUCAAAGCUGGUCUUAAUUCGGAUUGCAAGCUGCAACUUUCUGCAUGAAGCCGGA